GUAAAAUAUGUAACCUGAAACCCGACAAGCAUGUUAAUUUCCUUGCAAGCCUCCCAGAUGUCCUCACUUUAUGGCCAACGCUCAGUUUCAGUUUCAAUUUGUUUAUUUGCCCUUCUUCAGUCACAAAUGUGGAGCUGAAAAUACUGGAAGAGAGGAGAGAAAGCAAAGAAAAACGAGAAAAGGAGGGCUUGUGUUUUCCUCCUGGGAUGUAAGCAGUCAGGAGAAAGCUAAGAGGCUUGGACUUCUUAGAAAGAUAUGGAGGUCAUUGCCGGAGGAGGGAGCAGAACCAGUGACCACCUUUGCUGACUGAGACCAUUUCUCUUGGGACUGAUUUCCACAGGCCACUUCCAGAGCCAGAUGCCGAAUGACCAAGUUGGGGGCCCAAAGGGAGGAGGGGAGUUCACUGAACUGAAUUGUAGAGGCUGCAGUGCUCCUGGUAUAGGCACAAAAACAGCAGCGGGUACGAUCAACAGCUUUUCUGCAAACUUGAAGAUUCUGUCACAUUUCUCCUCCUCCUAAAUUCUAAUAAUAACUGUCUAGAAUGACAGUUUGGUGACAAGGCUAAAUUCCAGUCCUGGCUCGGCCACUCCCUCGGUGUUUGAUUGGAAGCCUAUGCUUGUCCCUCUCUGGGCCUCAGUGUCCCUGUCUGUCAGCAGUGAGGUUGGAGUCUGAGGACCUCUGAGUCCAAAUGACUUUUGCAGCUGGCUCCAACAUGGGCCACAGCACUGAUAUUCUCACAGGCACGGCAAGCUGAGCUCGGCACUGGGGGAGGAGCGUUUUUCCACACAGCAAUUCUCACUGUGAGGACUUGUUUCUCGCCUCCACUCCUCCUGUUGUCCUGGGGAUGCUUUGUUUGUUGUGGCUCUCCUCAGAUGCACUACAAGUCGUCCUUGAUAUUGCAGCCUUGGGCCACGUUCUCUCCCAGGGAAUCUCACCCGAGUCCAAGCUAACUUCCAGUCACUUCCUUAAACCCAGCAACCAAGCCUCAGAUGGAGCGGAGACCUGGAGGAACUUGGCAGAGAUCUUCCCUUUGGCUCUUACCUGAGCUGUUCACAAGGGAAGAUGCACAAUGUUUUCCUCUGCCAACAUUAUGACAACUUAGGAAGCAUCCCAGUCCUGGUGCUCGGCAUCCUCAAGCCGCCUUCCUCUCGAGAGUCCAGGUUUUGAAGUUAGAGUUCAACAUCACUUGCCAGCCCAUGCUGAUUUCCUCUCCCGUUGCAGCCCCUGCUUCCUGCUCAGCACUGUAUACCUCUUGCCCCCACUUCCCGAUCACUCUUCACACACAUGUCCCUGUGACCUGAUUCCUUUGAGGGUCUGUUCAGAUGUUAUGUCCCAGGCUUGCCUCUGACAGCUCUGUAUGAAUAGCAACCCUCCACACAUCCCUCCUUACCCCCCUCCCGGUUUGGUCUGUCAGACUGUCACCAUCAGACUGAUGUAUUUACCUGCAUUUAACCCUUUCUCAAACAU